CAGGGGAGCAAACGGGAUUAGAUACCCCGGUAGUCCUGGCAGUAAACGGUGCUCAUUAGACGUGGGCGGAUUCGACCCCGCCCGUGUCGAACCUAACGGAUUAAAUGAGCCGCCUGGGAAGUACGGUCGCAAGAUUAAAACUCAAAGAAAUUGACGGGGGCCCGCACAAGCGGUGGAGUAUGUGGCUUAAUUCGAUGCAACGCGAAGAACCUUACCUGGCCUUGACAUGCUGAGUUCAGGCGUGGAAACACGCUGGCCCGCAAGGGCGAUCUGCACAGGUGCUGCAUGGCUGUCGUCAGCUCGUGUCGUGAGAUGUUGGGUUAAGUCCCGCAACGAGCGCAACCCUCGUGACUAGUUAAUCCCGGGCAACCGGAUUCUGGUCAGACUGCCCUGUGAAACGGGGAGGAAGGUGGGGACGACGUCAAGUCCGUAUGGCCCUUACGGCCAGGGCUGCACACGUACUACAAUGCUCACUACAGAGGGACGCAAGACCGCAAGGUGGAGCCAAUCCCUGAAAGGUGAGCCCAGUUCGGAUUGGAGGCUGCAACUCGCCUCCAUGAAGCCGGAAUCGCUAGUAAUGGCGCAUCAGCUACGGCGCCGUGAAUACGUUCCCGGGCCUUGUACACACCGCCCGUCACAUCAUGAAAGCCGGUCUUACCCGAAGUCGUCUUUGACGCCCAAGGUAAGGCUGGUGAUUGGGAUG
rnacentral:rRNA from 1 species